rnacentral:rRNA from 1 species
UUAAGCGACUAAGCGUACACGGUGGAUGCCCUGGCAGUCAGAGGCGAUGAAGGACGUGCUAAUCUGCGAAAAGCGUCGGUAAGGUGAUAUGAACCGUUAUAACCGGCGAUGUCCGAAUGGGGAAACCCAGUGUGAUUCGUCACACUAUCGUUAACUGAAUACAUAGGUUAACGAGGCGAACCGGGGGAACUGAAACAUCUAAGUACCCCGAGGAAAAGAAAUCAACCGAGAUUCCCCCAGUAGCGGCGAGCGAACGGGGAGCAGCCCAGAGUCUGAAUCAGCUUGUGUGUUAGUGGAACGGUCUGGAAAGUCCGACGGUACAGGGUGAUAGUCCCGUACACCAAAAUGCACAGGCUGUGAACUCGAAGAGUAGGGCGGGACACGUGGUAUCCUGUCUGAAUAUGGGGGGACCAUCCUCCAAGGCUAAAUACUCCUGACUGACCGAUAGUGAACCAGUACCGUGAGGGAAAGGCGAAAAGAACCCCGGCGAGGGGAGUGAAAAAGAACCUGAAACCGUGUACGUACAAGCAGUGGGAGCACCUUCGGGUGUGACUGCGUACCUUUUGUAUAAUGGGUCAGCGACUUAUAUUCUGUAGCAAGGUUAACCGUAUAGGGGAGCCGCAGGGAAACCGAGUCUUAACUGGGCGUUAAGUUGCAGGGUAUAGACCCGAAACCCGGUGAUCUAGCCAUGGGCAGGUUGAAGGUUGGGUAACACUAACUGGAGGACCGAACCGACUAAUGUUGAAAAAUUAGCGGAUGACUUGUGGCUGGGGGUGAAAGGCCAAUCAAACCGGGAGAUAGCUGGUUCUCCCCGAAAGCUAUUUAGGUAGCGCCUCGUGAACUCAUCUUCGGGGGUAGAGCACUGUUUCGGCUAGGGGGUCAUCCCGACUUACCAACCCGAUGCAAACUACGAAUACCGAAGAAUGUUAUCACGGGAGACACACGGCGGGUGCUAACGUCCGUCGUGAAGAGGGAAACAACCCAGACCGCCAGCUAAGGUCCCAAAGUCAUGGUUAAGUGGGAAACGAUGUGGGAAGGCACAGACAGCCAGGAUGUUGGCUUAGAAGCAGCCAUCAUUUAAAGAAAGCGUAAUAGCUCACUGGUCGAGUCGGCCUGCGCGGAAGAUGUAACGGGGCUAAACCAUGCACCGAAGCUGCGGCAGCGACACUAUGUGUUGUUGGGUAGGGGAGCGUUCUGUAAGCCUGCGAAGGUGACCUGUGAGGGUUGCUGGAGGUAUCAGAAGUGCGAAUGCUGACAUAAGUAACGAUAAAGCGGGUGAAAAGCCCGCUCGCCGGAAGACCAAGGGUUCCUGUCCAACGUUAAUCGGGGCAGGGUGAGUCGACCCCUAAGGCGAGGCCGAAAGGCGUAGUCGAUGGGAAACAGGUUAAUAUUCCUGUACUUGGUGUUACUGCGAAGGGGGGACGGAGAAGGCUAUGUUAGCCGGGCGACGGUUGUCCCGGUUUAAGCAUGUAGGCUGAUUGUCCAGGCAAAUCCGGAUAAUCAAGGCUGAGGUGUGAUGACGAGGCACUACGGUGCUGAAGUAACAAAUGCCCUGCUUCCAGGAAAAGCCUCUAAGCAUCAGGUAACAUUAAAUCGUACCCCAAACCGACACAGGUGGUCAGGUAGAGAAUACCAAGGCGCUUGAGAGAACUCGGGUGAAGGAACUAGGCAAAAUGGUGCCGUAACUUCGGGAGAAGGCACGCUGGUGUGUAGGUGAAGCCCCUGCGGGUGGAGCUGAGACCAGUCGAAGAUACCAGCUGGCUGCAACUGUUUAUUAAAAACACAGCACUGUGCAAACACGAAAGUGGACGUAUACGGUGUGACGCCUGCCCGGUGCCGGAAGGUUAAUUGAUGGGGUUAUCCGUAAGGAGAAGCUCUUGAUCGAAGCCCCGGUAAACGGCGGCCGUAACUAUAACGGUCCUAAGGUAGCGAAAUUCCUUGUCGGGUAAGUUCCGACCUGCACGAAUGGCGUAAUGAUGGCCAGGCUGUCUCCACCCGAGACUCAGUGAAAUUGAACUCGCUGUGAAGAUGCAGUGUACCCGCGGCAAGACGGAAAGACCCCGUGAACCUUUACUAUAGCUUGACACUGAACAUUGAGCCUUGAUGUGUAGGAUAGGUGGGAGGCUUUGAAGCGUGGACGCCAGUCUGCGUGGAGCCAACCUUGAAAUACCACCCUUUAAUGUUUGAUGUUCUAACGUUGGCCCCUUACCGGGGUUGCGGACAGUGUCUGGUGGGUAGUUUGACUGGGGCGGUCUCCUCCCAAAGCGUAACGGAGGAGCACGAAGGUUAGCUAAUCCUGGUCGGACAUCAGGAGGUUAGUGCAAUGGCAUAAGCUAGCUUGACUGCGAGCGUGACGGCGCGAGCAGGUGCGAAAGCAGGUCAUAGUGAUCCGGUGGUUCUGAAUGGAAGGGCCAUCGCUCAACGGAUAAAAGGUACUCCGGGGAUAACAGGCUGAUACCGCCCAAGAGUUCAUAUCGACGGCGGUGUUUGGCACCUCGAUGUCGGCUCAUCACAUCCUGGGGCUGAAGUAGGUCCCAAGGGUAUGGCUGUUCGCCAUUUAAAGUGGUACGCGAGCUGGGUUUAGAACGUCGUGAGACAGUUCGGUCCCUAUCUGCCGUGGGCGCUGGAGAAUUGAGGGGGGCUGCUCCUAGUACGAGAGGACCGGAGUGGACGCAUCACUGGUGUUCGGGUUGUCAUGCCAAUGGCACUGCCCGGUAGCUAAAUGCGGAAGAGAUAAGUGCUGAAAGCAUCUAAGCACGAAACUUGCCCCGAGAUGAGUUCUCCCUGAGACUUUAAGUCUCCUGAAGGAACGUUAAAGACGAUGACGUUGAUAGGCCGGGUGUGUAAGCGCAGCGAUGCGUUGAGCUAACCGGUACUAAUGAACCGUGAGGCUUAACCUU